rnacentral:snRNA from 1 species
UUGGCUUCUCGGCCUUUUGGUUAAGAUCAAGAAUAGUUUCUGUUCUUAUCAGUUUAAUAUCUGAUAGUUCUCUAUACAAGGAUCAUAUAUUAAAUUGAUUUUUGAAUAGGAAUAGGGGCUUGCUCUGUCCACUCCAUGCAUCAACCUGGUAUUGCAGUACUUCUGGGAAUGGUGCACCCACU